CACCCGUGUCUCAGGCCAUUUCCUGUUGCCGGCAAAAUCUAGGACUCUGAGCUACUACUCCAACACCAUGUUGGCCUGCAUGUUGCCAUGCUCUCUACCAUGAUGUCAAUGAACUGAACCUCUGCAACUGUGGCCUUAGGUGACCCCUGUGAAAAGGUCAUUCCACCUGCAAGGGGGUCAUAAUCCACAGGUUGAGAACCACUGAACUAGACCUACAGUCCCAAUGUAUAAUCUAAUGUUCACUCUUUCAUCUCAUAGUCCAGCUCGGUCUAGAAGUCACUAUAUAGCUGACCUUGAAUUCCUGAUACGCCUGCCACCACCUGAUAAAUGCUGGGAUGAGAUAUGCAAACUACCCACAUUUGUGUAUGGUUUGCCCCCACCCCUUCUCCACGAAGGCAUGUUACCAACUGAGCUAUAUUCCCAGCCCCAGAAGAUUAAAUUGUAACAGUUCUGGAGGCUGGAAAUUUAAGAUGAGAAUGCUGAUAGGCUAGCUUCCGUGUUCUAUUCAUGUGAUCCUCACUCUGGUGUGGCCUGUACUCCAGUCCCUGACACAGGCAAGUCUGAACUGAUACAGAAAAUCCCUGCUCACUAGCCUUGAACUUGGAGAAAGCCCCUGACCUGAGCAGACAGAAGGCCUGGCAGUCAGUGUGUGGGAGCCCUGGAGCCUAUAUUGCUGGGACAGCUCGGAAAGACUGCCAAGACCUGACGAAUAGAGCAUGCCUGCUACACUGUGGCCCAUUCUGAGGAAGGGGGGAGGCUAUGAGGAAACUGGUGGGUGGGGAUCUGGCUGGGACUCCUGGAAUUCCCAGGACAGACACCAGGCCCAGCUUAGAGACCAUGGUGGGGCAAGGCUCCCAGGCCUGAUUCUUAAGUUCCUUAGGUGAACAGAUUCUCCCUUGCUUUGCCAAGAGGAAGGGAGUAGCUAUCAGAAUUGUAAGUCUGUGCCCCUUGACAGAGUAAUUUCACUUGUAAGAAUUUCCUCUGUAGAGAAGUGUGCAUAUUGUGGCAAAUGAAGACUGUAUGAUGCAGCUAAGGCUUGAGACAAAAUGGCUCUGGGUUUAAAAAGUGUUGUGUAUCUGGACAAUGAACAUUCUUUUAACAAAUAAUGGGGAAGUGCCAUGUGGAUUGAAGUAGAAACAGCUCCAAAUGUAUCAUUAAGUUUUAAAAAAAUAAACCAACAAGUCAUUGUGCUACAUGGCUCUCUGUGACAUAAGA